rnacentral:rRNA from 1 species
CAUGGCUUCCAUGUGGUGGUUCUUGCCUUGUGUGUCAUUGCCAGUUUGCGUUCGAGGAAAACUCCAGAGACAUGGUAGCCUAGCCUCGGCUGGGUGAAUGUGUCUGGUAGAACUCAUUCGCGUACUGUUUUCUGUGUCUGGUUGCAGUGCACUGUGCCAUCUGGGGGUGGCUGGAGAGGGAGUUUACUCCACUUCUUUGGCUAACUUCUGGGUGACCAGGGCACUUCCUUGACACAUAGACGAUGACUAAAUGGUUCUUUCGACCCGUCUUG